AUGCUCUGGUUUCUCUUCAUAACAAACACAUAUUUUGCCUUUUACUAAAGAUUUCCAUGGAGAGAAACAAUUAUGAGUUUAUAACUGAAUUGAUGUCCCGCUUAGGCAGGGCU